GACGAACGCUGGCGGCGUGCUUAACACAUGCAAGUCGAACGGAGCGAAUGAAAGCUUGCUUUUAUAAGCUUAGUGGCAAACGGGUGAGUAACACGUAGACAACCUGCCGACAGGAUGGGGACAACAUUCCGAAAGGAAUGCUAAUACCGAAUGAAGUCAGAGAAGGGCAUCCUUUUCUGACGAAAGAUGGCCUCUAUAUAUAAGCUAUCACCUGUUGAUGGGUCUGCGUCUGAUUAGCUGGUAGGUGAGGUAACGGCUCACCUAGGCGACGAUCAGUAGCCGGUCUGAGAGGAUGAACGGCCACAUUGGGACUGAGACACGGCCCAGACUCCUACGGGAGGCAGCAGUGGGGAAUCUUCCGCAAUGGGCGCAAGCCUGACGGAGCAACGCCGCGUGAGUGAAGAAGGUCUUCGGAUCGUAAAGCUCUGUUGAUGGGGACGAACGUGCCUAA
rnacentral:rRNA from 1 species